UACGGGGGGGGCAAGCGUUGUUCGGAAUUACUGGGCGUAAAGGGCUCGUAGGUGGCCAAUUAAGUCAGACGUGAAAUCCCCAGGCUUAACCUGGGAACUGCGUCUGAUACUGGUUGGCUUGAAUUCGGGAGAGGGAUGCAGAAUUCCAGGUGUAGCGGUGAAAUGCGUAGAUAUCUGGAGGAACACCGGUGGCGAAAGCGGCUCACUGGACCGAAUCUGACACUGAGGCGCGAAAGCGUGGGGAGCGAACGGG
rnacentral:rRNA from 1 species